GUCCCAGACUCCUACGGGAGGCAGCAGUGGGGAAUAUUGCACAAUGGGGGAAACCCUGAUGCAGCGACGCCGCGUGAGUGAAGAAGUAUUUCGGUCUGUAAAGCUCUAUCAGCAGGGAAGAAAUACUGACCUUACGGUCAGCAGACGGUACCUGACUAAGAAGCCCCGGCUAACUACGUGCCAGCAGCCGCGGUAAUACGUAGGGGGCAAGCGUUAUCCGGAUUUACUGGGUGUAAAGGGAGCGUAGACGGCAGCGCAAGUCUGAAGUGAAAGCCCGGGGCUCAACUCCGGGACUGCUUUUGAAACUGUUGAACUAGAUUGCAGGAGAGGUAAGUGGAAUUCCUAGUGUAGCGGUGAAAUGCGUAGAUAUUAGGAGGAACACCAGUGGCGAAGGCGGCUUACUGGACUGUAAAUGACGCUGAGGCUCGAAAGCGUGGGGAGCAAACAGGAUUAGAUACCCGAGUA
rnacentral:rRNA from 1 species